UAGGGAAUCUUCCACAAUGGACGCAAGUCUGAUGGAGCAACGCCGCGUGAGUGAAGAAGGUUUUCGGACCGUAAAGCUCUGUUGUUGGUGAAGAAGGAUAGAGGUAGUAACUGGCCUUUAUUUGACGGUAAUCAACCAGAAAGUCACGGCUAACUACGUGCCAGCAGCCGCGGUAAUACGUAGGUGGCAAGCGUUGUCCGGAUUUAUUGGGCGUAAAGCGAGCGCAGGCGGAAGAAUAAGUCUGAUGUGAAAGCCCUCGGCUUAACCGAGGAAUUCGCAUCGGAAACUGUUUUCUUGAGUGCAGAAGAGGAGAGUAGAACUCCAUGUGUAGCGGUGGAAUGCGUAGAUAUAUGGAAGAAUACCAGUGGCGAAGGCGGCUCUCUGGUCUGCAACUGACGCUGAGGCUCGAAAGCAUGGGUAGCGAACAGGAUUAGAUACCCUGGUAGUCCAUGCCGUAAACGAUGAGUGCUAAGUGUUGGGAGGCUUCCGCCUCUCAGUGCUGCAGCUAACGCAUUAAGCACUCCGCCUGGGGGAGUACGACCGCAAGGUUGAAAC
rnacentral:rRNA from 1 species